GGUUAAGCGACUAAGCGUACACGGUGGAUGCCCUGGCAGUCAGAGGCGAUGAAGGACGUGCUAAUCUGCGAAAAGCGCCGGCGAGGUGAUAUGAACCCUUGACCCGGCGAUGUCCGAAUGGGGAAACCCAGUGCAAUCCGUUGCACUAUCGUUAACUGAAUACAUAGGUUAACGAGGCGAACCGGGGGAACUGAAACAUCUAAGUACCCCGAGGAAAAGAAAUCAACCGAGAUUCCCCCAGUAGCGGCGAGCGAACGGGGAGCAGCCCGGAGUCUGAAUCAGCUUGUGUGUUAGUGGAACGGUCUGGAAAGUCCGACGGUACAGGGUGAUAGUCCCGUACACGAAAGCACACAUGCUGUGAACUCGAAGAGUAGGGCGGGACACGUGGUAUCCUGUCUGAAUAUGGGGGGACCAUCCUCCAAGGCUAAAUACUCCUGACUGACCGAUAGUGAACCAGUACCGUGAGGGAAAGGCGAAAAGAACCCCGGCGAGGGGAGUGAAAAAGAACCUGAAACCGUGUACGUACAAGCAGUGGGAGCCUCUUUAUGGGGUGACUGCGUACCUUUUGUAUAAUGGGUCAGCGACUUAUAUUCUGUAGCAAGGUUAACCGUAUAGGGGAGCCGAAGGGAAACCGAGUCUUAACUGGGCGUUAAGUUGCAGGGUAUAGACCCGAAACCCGGUGAUCUAGCCAUGGGCAGGUUGAAGGUUGGGUAACACUAACUGGAGGACCGAACCGACUAAUGUUGAAAAAUUAGCGGAUGACCUGUGGCUGGGGGUGAAAGGCCAAUCAAACCGGGAGAUAGCUGGUUCUCCCCGAAAGCUAUUUAGGUAGCGCCUCGUGAACUCAUCUUCGGGGGUAGAGCACUGUUUCGGCUAGGGGGCCAUCCCGGCUUACCAACCCGAUGCAAACUACGAAUACCGAAGAAUGUUAUCACGGGAGACACACGGCGGGUGCUAACGUCCGUCGUGAAGAGGGAAACAACCCAGACCGCCAGCUAAGGUCCCAAAGUCAUGGUUAAGUGGGAAACGAUGUGGGAAGGCACAGACAGCCAGGAUGUUGGCUUAGAAGCAGCCAUCAUUUAAAGAAAGCGUAAUAGCUCACUGGUCGAGUCGGCCUGCGCGGAAGAUGUAACGGGGCUAAACCAUGCACCGAAGCUGCGGCAGCGACACUAUGUGUUGUUGGGUAGGGGAGCGUUCUGUAAGCCGUUGAAGGUGUGCUGUGAGGCAUGCUGGAGGUAUCAGAAGUGCGAAUGCUGACAUAAGUAACGAUAAAGCGGGUGAAAAGCCCGCUCGCCGGAAGACCAAGGGUUCCUGUCCAACGUUAAUCGGGGCAGGGUGAGUCGACCCCUAAGGCGAGGCCGAAAGGCGUAGUCGAUGGGAAACAGGUUAAUAUUCCUGUACUUGGUGUUACUGCGAAGGGGGGACGGAGAAGGCUAUGUCAGCCGGGCGACGGUUGUCCCGGUUUAAGCAUGUAGGCGGAGGUUCCAGGUAAAUCCGGUACCUUAUUAACGCUGAGGUGUGAUGACGAGGCACUACGGUGCUGAAGUGAUAAAUGCCCUGCUUCCAGGAAAAGCCUCUAAGCAUCAGGUAACACGAAAUCGUACCCCAAACCGACACAGGUGGUCAGGUAGAGAAUACCAAGGCGCUUGAGAGAACUCGGGUGAAGGAACUAGGCAAAAUGGUGCCGUAACUUCGGGAGAAGGCACGCUGAUGUGUAGGUGAAGCCCCUGCGGGCGGAGCUGAAAUCAGUCGAAGAUACCAGCUGGCUGCAACUGUUUAUUAAAAACACAGCACUGUGCAAACACGAAAGUGGACGUAUACGGUGUGACGCCUGCCCGGUGCCGGAAGGUUAAUUGAUGGGGUUAGCGGCAACGCGAAGCUCUUGAUCGAAGCCCCGGUAAACGGCGGCCGUAACUAUAACGGUCCUAAGGUAGCGAAAUUCCUUGUCGGGUAAGUUCCGACCUGCACGAAUGGCGUAAUGAUGGCCAGGCUGUCUCCACCCGAGACUCAGUGAAAUUGAACUCGCUGUGAAGAUGCAGUGUACCCGCGGCAAGACGGAAAGACCCCGUGAACCUUUACUAUAGCUUGACACUGAACACUGGUCCUUGAUGUGUAGGAUAGGUGGGAGGCUUUGAAGCGUGGACGCCAGUCUGCGUGGAGCCAACCUUGAAAUACCACCCUUUAAUGGCUGGUGUUCUAACGUAGACCCGUAAUCCGGGUUGCGGACAGUGUCUGGUGGGUAGUUUGACUGGGGCGGUCUCCUCCCAAAGAGUAACGGAGGAGCACGAAGGUUGGCUAAUCCUGGUCGGACAUCAGGAGGUUAGUGCAAUGGCAUAAGCCAGCUUGACUGCGAGCGUGACGGCGCGAGCAGGUGCGAAAGCAGGUCAUAGUGAUCCGGUGGUUCUGAAUGGAAGGGCCAUCGCUCAACGGAUAAAAGGUACUCCGGGGAUAACAGGCUGAUACCGCCCAAGAGUUCAUAUCGACGGCGGUGUUUGGCACCUCGAUGUCGGCUCAUCACAUCCUGGGGCUGAAGUAGGUCCCAAGGGUAUGGCUGUUCGCCAUUUAAAGUGGUACGCGAGCUGGGUUUAGAACGUCGUGAGACAGUUCGGUCCCUAUCUGCCGUGGGCGCUGGAGAAUUGAGGGGGGCUGCUCCUAGUACGAGAGGACCGGAGUGGACGCAUCACUGGUGUUCGGGUUGUCAUGCCAAUGGCACUGCCCGGUAGCUAAAUGCGGAAGAGAUAAGUGCUGAAAGCAUCUAAGCACGAAACUUGCCCCGAGAUGAGUUCUCCCUGAGACUUUAAGUCUCCUGAAGGAACGUUAAAGACGAUGACGUUGAUAGGUCGGGUGUGUAAGCGCAGCGAUGCGUUGAGCUAACCGAUACUAAUGAACCGUGAGGCUUAACCUU
rnacentral:rRNA from 1 species